GGAUGUGAGGGAGACCUGGCUGUGACAUUUGUCACCCGAUUGAUCAACAGGGUUGAUUCAGCUGAUCUGGUUGGCUAGGCAGGCGUCCCUUUCCUCCCUCACCGCUCCCUUACCACUCCGUGGGUCCCUCCCGAAGCUGCACACUCCCUCAAAGAGGACGUUUCCCAAUAGAGGAGGACCGUUCUUCGGUCAAGGUUAUACGAGUAGCUGCACUCCCCUGCUGGAAGCCCCAAACAAGCUCUGCAGGUCCAUUUGUAGGUGAACACAGGGUAGUCAGGCUUCCAAGACUCCAGACACAUCCAAAUGAGGUGCCGCACGUGGUGUUGGCCUUGCUUU
ensembl:misc_RNA 7SK 7SK RNA